CUCCCUCGCCCGAGCAAGACUGCUGUCCUAGAGCCAAGCGCCAGCCAGAGCAGCGGCUGGGGGGCGGCGAGGAGGGGGCCGGCUCGCCGCCAUUGGUUGUGCGGACCAGAGGGGCGGGGGAAAGACCCGCGGUCCCGCGGACUCCGCGGCCCCGGGGCUCACUCCAGCUGCGCCCACUGCCCGCCAGUGCGCUUUGGUCCUGCGCCGCCUGCUGAGCCGACAUUCCCGCGGACGGCUUCGCGGGCGCGGAUAGCUGAGACAGGGGCGCCUACGAGGAAUUCAGCGCGGCCCCAACCUCACUCGGGGUGCUCAAGUGCGGCCGGGGAGGUCGGCACGUCCGGAUCCGCAGGCAGAGUGUUCUGAAGAGCUUGACACAGGCUCAUGGUUCUCAUUAAAGAAGCUUCAUGUAAGGAUCCCUGGAGAGAAGGAACGAAAUGAACACAGAGCAUUUGGAGACAUAGGGAUAUAGAUUUGAAUUCCAGUCCAGCCUCUAAGUGGCUGGAUGAUCUUGGGGAGUUGACGCUGACUCAGAGAAAAUGUGUGCAAACCUCGAGGGGCAGAAUUUCACACAAACCACCUGACAAAUCGGAGCAGACUUCUUCAAGGUGGAUCAGUUCAUUUCACUCUGCUGGACACCUGAGGCAGAACUCAUCUGAGGUGGCCUCACAGUGGGUGCUGGAUAUGGACUCUUGCACUUCAUUUCUCUUACAAAACCGUGAAAUCAACUGAGCUAGAAGAAACUGGCAAAAUUAAGUCUGAACUAUUUAGAAGAUAUUCUCCAUAUUUAAAAGAUAAAGUGGAAACACCAAAUUUAAAAAAAAAAAAAAAGUCAAUUUAGAUUUAAUGUAGAACAUUCCUAAAACCGGAGGCAAAAUAUGCUAAAUGUUUUGUUUUCACUUUAACAAAUGGGAAUCACAUUUAUUGAUGAAUUAAGUCAUCAUGGAAAAGUACUGGAAGAAUUUAACUUUUAAUAGCAAGACAAAUAUGUGUUAUGAUGCAGUCUGUAAUGUAUUUUUGCCUCUUGGAUUUUUUUUUUCUAUUUAUGUUAUAGUCAUAAUACCCCUACUGUUGUAGAAUUCUUUGUGAUAAUUGCUGCUACUAAGAAACAUCCUAAGAGACAGCAAGAGGUUUUUAUUUUAUAUCUAUACUUUCUGUUAGUGGAAAUUAGCAUAUGGAAAAUAUUCACUUAGUUCUGUUUUCGACAGUAAUAACUCCUAGCAGUCAUGUAAGCAUGUUCCUUUAUUCAGUUUCAUAGUCUUAUAAUUUUAGCACAGAAUUUUGUUAAGUCUCCCAGAUGUCAGAUGUUUGCUCACCCACAUUAGGUUGCAAAACUUAAAGAGACUAAAUUGCUAAUAUACAUGUUAUUAUAGACUCCAUGAAUGUUACAGUUCUCUGAGAAUUAGUUGUUCUAUGUUAACAUAAUACUUUGCAUUAGCAUUCCAGGAUGUGGGUUUUUAUUAAAAACUGUGGACCUUCAAGUUAUGUCACUGCUGGGAGAUUAGUGGUCCUGGGAGUCAUGAUACUGUGGUCAUCCAAGCACUGAACCUGGGGUCUUUAUCCAUGAAAUGAGGCACACAUGUGAGCAUAGACUUGGAAAAUGGAAAAAAUCAAGCUUCCCCUAAAAACAAAACAGAGCAAACUACAACUUCUUCAGAGUAAGAAUUGUCCUUUAAUUUUAAAAACAAAUGGCCCACAGCAUAAACACAACUUCUUCAGCCUACAGAGACCACUGCAUCAACAUGCCCUGUCUUCCCAUGGCAAAUGGAUCAUUUCUUGUUCAAAUAUUUUCUAAUCUUAAAUAGUGGAGCUUCAAUAGACGCUUUGGUUGACUGCGCAGGUAAUACACUCUAGUAACCCGAUUGGGAUAAAAAUCCACCAUUUUUCCAAGGUCUAUCUUCGUCAUUCUAAAAUUCUAAGAGAGAUGAGGACUGGUAAUGAGCAUCUGAAGGUUUCUUUUCUUUUCUUUUUUAAUCCAUAAGCUUCACUUAAGUCAGACCACAUUGACCUAUUUAUAUCAAAAACGUUCCCAGACAGUCUAAGACCUACACAGAGUUGCUGUCCUAAAAUGUGCAAUUGGUGAAAAAUUUGCCUCUGCUGCCAUUUAAAGCAUGGCAGUGUGUUGCAGUAUUAUUACAUAGUGUAAAUUUUGGACUAGAAGAACUCCACUAUUUUAGAUCAUUAUCAGCAGUCUCUCAAUAUGUGUAUGUAUGUGUGUGUACUAAUGUAUAUAUAUUUUCUCACAUACUCCUAAUUAAAAGUUGUGUGGAAGCUACAGGAUUGUAGAGGUAUCAGUAUUAUCAAUAUUGCUUUUUUAUUAAUUUUGUGCUACUAUGGUUAUUGAGGAAGAAAGUGAUUUAAAAAUAAUAAUAAAGGAACAAGUUUGCCAUACAAUAGAACAAUCUGAGUAUGAUCUGUUCUAAGGGGUAACUUCAUACUCUUUCUGAAAGUAAAACUGCUUUAAAAAAAAAUCUGCAGGCCUAUCCCUGCCCACACCCACUGCCACAAUGGUUCUUGCUCUCCAGGUUAAGUAAAAUAAUUAGAAGCAACAUUUACAAAUGAAAACGAGGACUUGUCAGUUUUGCCAAGGUAACAGAUUGCACAAUUUGAGAUGAAUUUGUGUUGUCUAAGAAGUUCAGAAAGGUUAGAAGACUGGUUUAUAAAUAAAGAAGUAGAGCCCACUGAAA